CUUUGUUCAAUUGAAGCAACAGGGAUGUGUUGAAAACCAGGCUGUUUCCACAGGUCAUUAUGAAGCUCACUCAUGGAAUUGCCAGUGGAAAAUUUCAGAGAAUCAUCCCAUGGAGCAUGGAUGUUUCAGUACAACCAAGGUCACUGUUUAUGGUAUCUAAGCAAGCAGGAAAAAAUGGCAACUAGCACAGUGAGCAGAUGGCUAACACAGUCCCCUCCAUGUGACUCCUGCUAACAUAGAAGUCUGCUCAAGACUACAUGGUAAAUAGUGUUUAUCAUAGGUGGGAUCGUUAUCCCUUUAGCCCUUUCAUUAGUUCUUUGACCCCUACAGUUCAGCAUUAAUGAAAUCAUAACUUCUCAUUCUUGAGGCUCCUGUACUAUUCCACCAGUGUCCUAGUAAUGGAGUGUGUGUUUACUGCAACUAAAUUACAGAGCUUCGUAUGGCAUGCCCCUAGCAUCAGCCUCACACAGUUGUGGGUCUUUGACACACACUGGUAAAGUUCUGCAAUGAACUGUGCUUAUUAGAGCCCACCAGGAAGGCGAGCUUCUUAGUAUAAUUAGCUCCCCUGAGAACAAUGGCUGCCUUCACAGCUGGAAAACUAGAAGAAAUUUAUUCUAAAGUAUGGGAAGCACUGAAAAGGCACCUGUAAUUAAAUUUCCUUUUCUGCUUCUUUCUUUUCUUUCUUUCUUUCUUUCUUUCUUUCUUUCUUUCUUUCU
rnacentral:lncRNA from 10 species